rnacentral:snRNA from 1 species
GGAUGUGAGGACAAUCUUAGUGUGGCAUCUGUCACUUCAUUGAUUGCCAGGGUUAACUGAGCAGAUCUGUCGGGCUUGGCGGGGGUCCCCUUUCUACCUCACUGCUCCAUACACAUCCCUCUCCAAGUUGUGUGCUCAGUGUAUGAAGAUGACAUUCCCUGAGUGAGGAGGUUAGUUCUCUAUCUCUAAAGGUCUAUGAGUAGCUACUUGCCCCUUCUAGAACCUCUAAGGCAAGCUCUCAAGGUUCAUUUGUUGGAGAUUGUAAGAGAGUUAAACUUCCAAGACUCCAAACACCUCCAAAAAAUGAGGUGCCUGCCUUCCUUU